AAGGCCCCACCUCCUAAUACCAUCACACUGGGGCUUAGCACCUCAACAUAUCAAUUUUGGGGAAAUACAAUUCAGUUCACAGUGCAUAGAUAGAUAUUAAUUGAUAUUAUCAAAAGAAACCAUGGGCAGAUAAACCCAAAACCAAACUGUUUUAAUGGUUAUCUAUUGGGAAGAAAAAGAAACAGGGUGAACGGGAAGUUACAGAAGCAAGAUUUCUGUGACUGUAACUGGAUAAAUAGAGAGUUUGGGAGGACGAUAAGUGUUUUAUGUGAUUUUUAAAAAUUAAAGUAAACUGAAAUGAAUGAGUCUUCCUGCAUAUAAAGUGUGUGGCAUAACCACAUAAAGCAAACAAUUACUUAAAGUGGCUUUAAAACGCAGCAUUUUGACUAUACAUCCCAAGUGAGAGAUAUGCUAUGGACAAUAAAAAAAAGGAAAAGAAAAAAGGAAAGAAAUCAUAAAUGGCAUUCAGUAGCCAUAUAUUAGUAUUGACAUUUUUAUUAAAUUACUAUGUUUCCAUCAUUAGGAACCAUAAUUUUCAGUAUAAAAAUGACAUAGCAUAAAAUCAAGGAAGUUUAAGUAAAAAUCUUGUAAUCUUAAAAGUGAAUUGGAAAUUGCAGUAUGAACUCACAUUGUGUUUUACUCUUUAAAAAAUACAUAUUUUCUAGUUCUGUCCACUGAAAAGACCCAGAAGCAAUGAAAACCCAGUAACAAUGAGCACACUUCCACGGCUGAACUCUCUAGAUAACAUUUACCAAUGAAAUUGGCUGAUUCUAAGUCUAGGGCAAAAAAUGUACAAAAGGAGACUGGAUACAAGUCUCUUAUUGUACCAGAAAGUGAAGGAGAAAUCAAAGACUAAUGAGGUCACGUUAAAGUGAUACAGGACGACACAGGGCCUGCCUGCAGCAGCUGGUCAAUAAUGAAGGGAUUAAUCCAUGACUGCAAGACUCGUGGGAAGGAGGGAGUGGGGACUGCAGGGAGGGUCCUAGUAAAAGCAGGGUGGGCCUCGAUGAGCACAGCAUGGACAGUGCGAUUUAAAUCCCAUCGCUUGUGGGCAGGAGGAGUGAGGAUGCCAGAACCUAGUUAUCCCCCACCAUCCCACGCUCUCCCAGGAGGCGGCGGCAGGAAGUGCAGUCUACAGUAAGGGAAAGCCGCCGGAGCUGGAGACAGGCUGGAAAGAGCAGGUAACAGCCCACAAGGAGCGGGGGCCCUGGCUGUCAGACUCAACUUGCAGGACCAUCAAGUGCAGGUGUGGUUCAAGAACCGGGGCCGCUUGCUCUGCGGUAGCAACGGCACAUAACCGCAGCGAUGACCAGGGCAGCCAAGCCAGCAGCCGGGACCCCGGGAUGCUCUUGGCACAUGAUCCGACUCCCCUGCCUUUGCGGGUCCUGUACUCCCGCGAGGUCCAGGAUUGUGCAGCCCCUCCCCAACCGGCCGUUGGGAAUCUUCGCAGCAGCAGAACCCGCUGCCUCCAGGUCCGACCAGACCUGCAUAGGUAGAGAGUCCCCGCACAGGGCGGCCAGCAGAGCUACCCAGCUGCCCCAGGGCCUCGGGACCCCUGGGCCUGGGACCCAGGCCAGACCCUGACUCAUUCGGUGAUCUCACAGGACUCCUCCCACCCCAAGACCCUUUCAGGGACCCUGCCUCGAACUCCACGACAUGGGAGGCAGGGGCGGGCCUUUUGCAGGGGAAGGACUCCCCCAGCAGGACGUUUACUGAAUCUGGAGGGAGUCGCCCUGCAGAUAUCCCGCGGAAGCCGGAGGAGACCCAGGUGCGCCCCACCGGCUAGCUGCGCCUGCGGGUGCCCAAAUUGGUGUCCGGGCCAUCCUCACCGCAGUGACUCCUCCGCAGCGCCAACGCACUCCAUUUUCCUUCCACCCUGCCGGUGGGGGGCGUUUGCUUGUUCUCACUCUGCAGCCGCAGCCAGUGGCGCCGCUACCAAGGUCCCCGCCUCGCCAUCCGGGUCCUGCCUGAGCAUCCUUAUUGGUGCUCAGGGCUAGGCGUGCAUUGCUGCUAGGGGCGCGGAAAGGUUUAUCGUGGGUGGAUGCUGCCCGGGGCUUGAGUGGUUUUUAGAGGUCUUGAGUGGCUCACUCUCCAAUCAGCGCUUUCUAGAGACAGCGUGGUCAGCGUACUUGCUUACUUUCAGGAUUGCGAGACGUCUUUAACCCUUGCUGAUCGGCUGACGCUGCAGCUUCCUGUGGCUUCCUGCUCAUUUCCCGCAAGAUAGCACUGAUAGGCAAUUCCAUUUUGGAAAAUUUAUCCUGAGGAAAUAAAUAAAGAUGUAAACAGAGAAUAACUUACAGAUGUGACGUUUGUGAUCGUUAAAACUGGAAACAGCGCAAGAGUGGACGAUAGGGGAUGAGAGAGCCACACAGCGCAUAGAAGAUGAUCAGUCUGAAGAGAGGGUUUUCAGACAUGCAAUUAACUGCUAUUCACUGUACUUCAUUUUAACUGCAAACUAGCAGUCUCUUUCCCCAGGAAAAAAGAGGUCAACUCGGAGGAGCCAGGGAUUCAGCCCACUCUGGACAACACUCAGAGCCAUGGCACCUACCUGUAUGAAAAAAAAUUGUUAAGCAGCUGCCACUCCUAGUUACUGGCCUCUGCUCGGUGACUGAUGCACUUCUAACAUCCUUGUCCCAGGAUAAAGACCUUGUAAUGGAGAAAAAAGAUGGCAGGGAUCCUUUCCAUGGAAUUUCGGCUGUUGUCUAGUGGACCUUCCAGGAAUUGUCUGAUUCUAUGGGAGUGCGCAACUUUGACUGUUCAGUUGGGCCAAUUGGCAACACUGUAGAGACGGAAACUAACUUGUGGAGGGCUGAGGGUGAUACAGACAUUUUCUGUCCGUGGUAAUGCAAAAGGUGUUCAUAGCAAUGCAAAUGGAUUUUAUCCAAUGGGGGAGAUAAAUAUUUGAACGGGCUCUCUUGUUAAUUACUAGUUAAUCAAAAUAUUUGACAUGUAUUCAUUCUAUAUUUAUAGGGGAGUCAUGAUUCUACCUUUUUGGAAAUGACCCUCUAGCAGUUUUAUUGGUCCUAUGAGAUACACAGUAGAUUCACCAGCCAGAGCCAGAUGAGCUGCACAGUUGCCAAAGGGAACUUCAGAUGCCACCAGAGCCUCAGCUCUGUCCUCCCUCACCUCCCAAGGUGACUUCCAAGCAGCCACAGAACUUUAAUUUUACUUACUCUCUGUUUCUCUAGUUUUAUUUUUCUAAUCUUUACUGAAUUUGUGUCUGUGGUUUUAUUUCUGGUUUAUUCCUGACUAUAAGUUAUUCCCUAUUCUUGACAACAGUGAUUGAGAAUUUGGUUUUUGGCCUGACCAUUUAGUCAUCUCUGUAGAUGGAUGACACAGAUCUAAUUCCUUUCAAGUGAGAGACAACAGGAAAUCCGGUUUGUUGGUCCUUUCUUGUUUGUUUAUUUUGAGCUCCAGUCAGUUAGAAAUUUAGUGCCCGCUGCAAAGCACAGCUCUUUGAGACUUGGGAUUGGUAAGAGGGUGUGUUGCUUACUUCUGGCCUGUGGCUGAAUUUGCAGGGCCAAAGCCAAAAUCUCUCCAUAUGUCUGUCAUCUGUGAUCCAUGUGUCUGCAAGUCUAUAACUGAGAAAAGCCUUGAUUCCGUGAUAUGUGAGUGUGAAAUAAAUUAAUAAAUUAGUUAUGUCUCUUAAAUCAAAGGAGCUCUGUUCUUACUAGUUUAUAGGAAAAAAGGCACUUAUAUAUCUUAUAUAUCUCAUAUUUCUAGCUUCUAGUGCUUUCAAUGUGUUAGGCUUUUUAAAAUAUCCUUCAUACAGAAACUGCUACCUUAAAUACAUUUUAUAAAACCAAGUUCCUGUAACUAAGGUAAAUCUGUGGCAAGUCAAACUAGCUUAAUAAUUUUGGUUUUUAAAAAACAGAUUGGUCUUGUCUUUGAUUUACAGUGUUAAGUAUAAUUCAAUUGUGUAUUUGAUCAAAUCUCUCAUGAAGAGAAUAAUCUGGUCUUCUUAAAUAGUUUAUCAAAAAGAUAACAUUAGUCUAAUACAAUGUCACUAUUAUGAAAACUGAAUAUUGGUAUUACUCUAAAUUGAAUCACUAUUUAGACACAUCCGUUACCUCAACCUAUGUUUUGUAGUAUAAUUUAUCCAAUUAAAUAAAUGUCCAAGAUCUUUAGAUAACUUAGAACCUGGAAUCUUCAGAUAAAUCAGAACCUGACCCUGAAUGGAGUUAAUUAAUAGAUAAUCAUCAGAUACCUAGAUAAACGAAGUAGGAUAUAACACUAAAACAUGGAUUGCUAAGCCUACUUUUAGGCUUAUCCACUUUUGCUCCUUAUUUUUAUAUUCUGCAGAAAGCCUGGAUCUUUGAGUUGUGUUGAUGGGCAUAUUCGUGUUUGCCACUUGAAGGAGUAAGAGGCCCGCGUGGAUCUGGAGGCAAGUGGCUGUGCCCUCCUGCAAUCUGCUCACCUGCAGAAAUGCUCGCGUAGGGCAGCUCUCAAUUUUCUGCCACCUCCUCAGCUUUUUCUGUGAAACAGAAGUUGGUUACUUUGGAUGAAAAUUAUCUUUCAUAUAGGUGGUUGGUACACGAAGCAAUAGUGACAAAUAAAACUCUGUGUGCGUGCUUCUGUUUUGUCAUGCAAUGAAAAGUAGUUUUGUUCCAGAAUAUGAAUGAACACAGUGAAUGAAGGUCUAAAGAAGUGAAUGUUAUUUGCCUUGGUUUAUAAUACCUGAGUCUGAAAAGAGACAUGAAGUAACUUAGAUCUUAGCAAAGUUUCCUCACUUUUGAUGGGCUUGCCGCCUUGGCUUACUGGUCACCGCCUUCAUCUACAGCAGGGGUCCCCAAUCCCCGGGCUAUGGUCCAGCAACAGUCCAUGGCCUGUUAGGAACCGGGCCACAUAGCAGGAGAUAAGCGGUGGUUACAGCUGCUCCCCAUCACUCACAGUACUGCCUGAGCUCUGCCUUCUGUCACGGUGGCAUGAGAUUCUCACAGGAGUAUGAACCCCUAUUGUAAACUGUGCAUGCAAGGCAUCUAGGUUGUAUGCUCCUUAUGAGAAUCUAAUGCCUGACAAUCUGUCACUCUCUCCCAUCACCCCCAGAUGGGACCAUCUAGUUGCAGGAAAAUAAGCUCAGGCCUCCACUGAUUCUAUAUUAUUGUGAGUUGUAUAAUUAUUUCAUUAUAUAUUACAAUGUAAUAAUAAUAGAAAUAAAGUGUACAAUAAAUGUAAUGUGCUUGAAUCAUCCAGAAACCAUCCCCCCAUCCCAGUCCGUGGAAAAAAUGUCUUCCAUGAAACCGGUUCCGGGCGCCAGAAAGGCUGGGGACCACUGACCUGCAGCACAAAGGCUAUUCUUUACCUUCCUUGUGGUCUGCCUGACAGCAAAAGUGUGUGUCUUGCCAGAAAAAUUUCUGUGCCUUAUGCUGACUUCAUUCAGUCCUUGAGUAUUUAAACAAAACAAUACAAAAACUCACUUGUGAAAGAGAUGAUUCUUUAAACUCAUGUCACCUUCUGUUUACUUUUACAUUUGUUUGCAUUAUUAAAAGAGUAAGCAAGAAUUAUUUCUUCAGCACCCAUGAUAUGCUCUGAGUCAAGUGCCUAAAUCUUCUCUGACAACUCUUUUGAUUUUUCCUUCUAGAGAUCAGAUCCUAAAUAUAGAAAGAGUAAAAGAAAACUUUUUAUCUUGAACUAAAACAUUCUUUGAAACUUCCCAGAGGGCCCCUGGAAAUUCACGAGAUUUGUACUUUCACCCUAUGAAGCAAGAGCAAGAGAGGCCAGAAGUAAUUAUGUUUAUUAUUCUUUAAUCAGCAUCUGAAGAGAUGCUCAGCCUCCCUAGGUUAAGUUUGUAUCAGUAAACUCAUUAUAAAUAGUUCAGACACUGCACACUUUGUAGGAAGGCCCUGAAGCUUUGCCAGUGCCCUCGUCGCCGUCCAUUGUAUGCUUUACCUUUAGUGAGACACUGAUCAAAAUGCUUAUGAAAUAGUUAUUUCCCAGUAGAGAAUCUUACUUUCCUGCGGUUGCUGUAAUAAAUUAACCAACAGUCAACUACCAGUAGUUUUGUAUUUACUCUGAUGUGCACCUGGGACUCUGCUGUAAGCCACUGGUGAGCGGCUGUGCCUUCCACAAGGGGCAGCCUCAGAGGCUCAAGAGGACAUGCAGGGGCUCUAAGCUGAGGAUGCUACAGUGAAUCACCUCGCGGGGACACGCUCCUGAGCGGACCUCACUUAGGCCACCUUCAGAUCAUCCAUCAGACGGAGUCAUGACUUCUAGGCCUCUAAGCUCAGAGCAGAGGCUCCCUAAAAGUUCUCUCUUGACUGGAUCCAGAGAACAGGAAUUAUUACUUAGGAUUGAAUGAGGCAAUUUUGUCUUGGUUAUUUUUUGGAAUAUUGCUGAUGUUGCUUUGAUGUUCUUUCAUUUCUAGAUCUGUGAGGAAGCUCCUUCUCUUCCUUUUUAACCUACAAUUUAAUAGACUUUGCUUUUGUCAAUUGAAAAGAAACAUUUGUAAAAUAGUUUCUUAUUUUCACUAACCCUCCAGAACUCAGAAAAUGACUUAGUCUUAAGUUUUCAUGGAAAUAUAGUUAUUUUCAUAAAUUCAAUGGAGAACUUUUCUUCUUUUGCUGGGAUAAAACAGCAUUAAGCAAUAAGGGUUAUUGUGGGGUUGUCAUAAUUGGAGGUGAGUCUCAUUUAAUCAGGUGGGAUAAGCCACUUUUAUACAGAAUUGAUGCCACAAAGCUACUGCAGGAGAACAUGCUGGGCCCUUGAGUCCUAGCCUCACAGGUGGUAGGAAAGGUGGUUUCCUGCAGGCCAGGAGCAAGCAUCAACUGAUGUAGGGAACUUUGAGAAGCGAGGAAGCCAUCCAAAGUUACAGAUACAUAGGUGAGAGCUGGUGGUGACAGUUCCUUGAACUCGGUUUCCCAGCAGAUAAAAGAGGCUUUUAUAAAUCCCAGCUAAGAUUUUCUAUUCAGACAGGAGCGAAUUCCAGGGCCAUGGCAGUUGCUUAAUGCUGCACAGCACUCUAGAUUUGAAAGCUACAGGCCAGGUGCGGUGGCUCAUGCCUGCAAUCCCAACACUUUGGGAGGCCAAGGUGGGCAGAUCACUUGAAGUCAGGAGUUCAAGACCAGCCUGGCCAAAAUGGUGAAACCCCAUGUCUAUUAAAAAUACAAAAAUUGGCUGGGCAUGGUGGCGCACGCCUGUAAUUCUACCUACUCAGGUGGCUGAAGCAGGAGAAUCACUUGAACCCGGGAGGCAGAGGUUGCAGUGAGCUGAGAUCAUGCCACUACACUCCAGCCUGGGCAACAGAGUGAGACUCUACCUAAAAAAAUAAGAAAGCUAACCCAAGGAGGUCUGGAAAGUCUAGAACAUUCUCACUGCACCUGUGUAAAUAGGCCAAACUGAGACCCAUUGUCUUGUGAUCGAGAAUCAUUUUUGGAGACUGUUGUGAUCCUGGGGCAGGGAGACAAAGAUUGUUCAGUUGUUAUAGGCUUUACAUGGGCAAAAAACUCAGUGUCCCUUUGAUGGAUUCUGGGCAGUGGCUAGGGACCCUCAGGGAUUGUCGGAUUCCGUGGGGACACAUGCCUUCAAUUCUCUGGGCAGGGUUGUUCUGCAGUUCUGCAGAGACAGCAUCAGCUCGUGUGGGGCUGCUGAAGAUGCAGAAGUUUCCUGUUCCUAGCUAUGCACAUAAUUCUGGGCCAAAGCAACGCACAUGCAUCUUGUCCAGUAGAAAAUAUAAACCUCUGUACAUCCAGUUCUCAUUUAAACUGCCUGUAA
rnacentral:lncRNA from 1 species